GAUGAACGCUGGCGGCGUGCCUAAUACAUGCAAGUCGAGCGAACAGAUGAGGAGCUUGCUCCUCUGACGUUAGCGGCGGACGGGUGAGUAACACGUGGAUAACCUACCUAUAAGACUGGGAUAACUUCGGGAAACCGGAGCUAAUCCCGGAUAAUAUCUUGAACCGCAUGGUUGAAUAGUGAAAGACGGUUUUGCUGUCACUUAUAGAUGGAUCCGCGCCGCAUUAGCUGGUUGGUACGUUAACGGCUUACCAAGGCAACGAUGCGUGGCCGACCUCAGAGGGUGGUCGGCCGCACUGGAACUGGGACGCGGUCCAGACUCCUACGGGAGGCCGCAGUAGGGAAUCUUCCGCAGUGGGCGGAAGCCUGACGGAGCAACGCCGCGUGAGUGAUGGAGGUCUUCGGAUCGUAAAACUCUGUUAUUAGGGAAGAACAAAUGUGUAAGUAACUAUGCACGUCUUGACGGUACCUAAUCAGAAAGCCACGGCUAACUACGUG
rnacentral:rRNA from 1 species